GACGAACGCUGGCGGCGUGCUUAACACAUGCAAGUCGAACGGAAAGGCCCUGCUUUUGUGGGGUGCUCGAGUGGCGAACGGGUGAGUAACACGUGAGUAACCUGCCCUUGACUUUGGGAUAACUUCAGGAAACUGGGGCUAAUACCGGAUAGGAGCUCCUGCUGCAUGGUGGGGGUUGGAAAGUUUCGGCGGUUGGGGAUGGACUCGCGGCUUAUCAGCUUGUUGGUGGGGUAGUGGCUUACCAAGGCUUUGACGGGUAGCCGGCCUGAGAGGGUGACCGGCGACAGUGGGACUGAGAUACGGCACAGACUGCUACGGGAGGCAGCAGGGGGGAAUAUUGCACAAUGGGCGGAAGCCUGAUGCAGCAACGCCGCGUGCGGGAUGACGGCCUUCAGGUUGUAAACCGCUUUCGCCUGUGACGAAGCGUGAGUGACGGUAAUGGGUAAAGAAGCACCGGCUAACUACGUG
rnacentral:rRNA from 1 species